CAAUUUUACCGUAAGAACGACGUGAGUGAUUGUUAUGCUGACCGCAGUUAUGUCGUCAAGCUGAAAGCCAGGAGACUUUGUCCACCCUUCUCAUCAGACUUGUUUGAUUGGCAAUGCGAUUUCGUUGAGCUAAUCACCGUGUAGUCGGCGAUGGCGAUGAAAUCAGGCUGGCCAUUUGCA